GCGGUUGUGGCGGAAUGGCAGACGCGCUAGGUUGAGGGCCUAGUGGGAGUUAAAUCCCGUGGUGGUUCAAGUCCACUCAACCGCACCA
rnacentral:tRNA from 2 species